GUGGGGAACUUUGGACAAUGGGCGCAAGCCUGAUCCAGCAAUGCCGCGUGCAGGAAGAAGGCCUUCGGGUUGUAAACUGCUUUUGUACGGAACGAAAAGGCUCUGGUUAAUACCUGGGGCUCAUGACGGUACCGUAAGAAUAAGCACCGGCUAACUACGUGCCAGCAGCCGCGGUAAUACGUAGGGUGCAAGCGUUAAUCGGAAUUACUGGGCGUAAAGCGUGCGCAGGCGGUGCUGUAAGACAGGCGUGAAAUCCCCGGGCUCAACCUGGGAAUUGCGCUUGUGACUGCAGUGCUGGAGUGCGGCAGAGGGGGAUGGAAUUCCGCGUGUAGCAGUGAAAUGCGUAGAUAUGCGGAGGAACACCGAUGGCGAAGGCAAUCCCCUGGGCCUGCACUGACGCUCAUGCACGAAAGCGUGGGGAGCAAACAGGAUUAGAUACCCCUGUAGUCC
rnacentral:rRNA from 1 species